UGUCGCUAAAGAAACCCUUGGAGCUGUUGUUGGUCCAUGUUGCUGGAGCUAAAAUUAGUUUAAUUCUUCUCCCAUGAGUCAGCGCUGAUUGUAAACUUUGUUUACGGGUAUUCCCACUGGGGACAACUUCACAACACUCACCUGCACUUGUCGUCGGGACAGGAUCGAGCUCCCACCUCACCUGCUUCAGUCUGUAAGGAAUCGAGGGUAACAGUAAUAAACGCACUACAAUGGCAUCAGACUGUCAGACUACCAAAGAUCCAGUCCGAAGAUACACAAGACAGCAACUAAUGGAGCUACUGACAGCGCAGACAACUCUAGCCACACCGCCCCCUGACCUUCCUGAUUUCGCUCCCUUGCGAGAUACAGGGUCACGAAGGAAAACUUUCAAUAUUACUUAUUACACGGUCUUGAAGACACCACGGAAAUAAUUGAUAAGAUUUGGAAAAACAUUGAAGAAUUCGAGAUUUUCUUGAAACUAGCCCUCAUGCCCGUGGAUGCCGUUGAAAAGUUGCUGAGUGUGUUAAACAAAGUCGUCAAGUGCCAACUUGAAGGGGACAGUAUUAUAAGGCUCCUGCAAAUAGUCUGUGCAUCUCAGUUUCUAGACUCACACCUCCGCAGUUACACAGACCAUCUUCACAAGUGCUCAAGGGACGAAGAAGUUUACAGUCGGAAGGCGAUGACAGACAUCCUGGAGCAGAUCCUGACUCUCUUGUCAAACAUUUGUCACAGCCUACCUUCGGAGGGACCAAAGGUCUACUCUUUCAUGGCCUACAUGACUCGAGGAGACCUGAUUAAUGUCAUCAAAAACUCAGAAGCCACAGCAGAACAUUUCAAUGAAUUGUUGGCGAAGUGCAGAAGUCCUUUUUUGACAUUCACCACAUCUGAGUGUAAAAAAGACAGGGGCAGAGGUUCCUGUCAAACACUUUAUGAUGAAGAGUAAUCAUCCAGCCAAAGCUGGUUUAUUGGACAAUGUCUGAGGUUGACUUAGUCUAGUCUUAAUUAUUCUUAGUCUACUGAAUAACAUGAAGAACAGUGCCGUCUUGUGGGUCAAAGGGCAUGCAGUGAAUUGUAUUGCAUAACUGGCUGUUUAGUUAAUCAGUACACAUACACACGCAGGUAGGCAUACGCACAGAUAGAGAAUAAGAUAAUGUUUGGAGCCAUACAGCUGAUGGUUAAAAGAGACUGGCAGGAACGAACAAAAACUCAUCCUCGAAUUUUCUCAGCACGUAGACCUGGUAAUCUCUGAAAAAUCUCAAAACUUGUUAAUGAAUGCAUGAAUGUCAAUAUUGCAAACCGUCAAUGAAUGUUAGAAAUGUGAGAUGUGUGGCGUGUCCUGUAACUAUAUUGUAAAUGUAACAGUCUAGCAUUAGACAAGAAAGUAAAGGGACUGAACCCGGCAAUCUCAGUAAAGAUUUGUCGGGUUAAUUUCUUCUUUGUGUUCGAUUCUUGUAGUUGCACCUAGCUUUGUCUUGUGGAAAAUAAAAUGCUGGAUUGUUUAUAAA